AUUCCAGCUCCAAUAGCGUAUAUUAAAGUUGUUGCAGUUAAAAAGCUCGUAGUUGAAUUUCUGGUGGGAGUGUACAGUCCGACACUGAGUGUUGGUUCUUGUGUGUCUCCGGCCAUCCUUGGAGUGAAUCUGUCUGGCAUUUAGUUGUUGGGCAGAGUAUCUCCAUCGUUUACUGUGAGGAAAGGAAAGUGUUCAAAGCAGGCUUACGCCGUUGAAUCUUUUAGCAUGGAAUAAUAAGAUAGGAUCUUGAUACUAUUUUGUUGGUUGGAGGCCAAGGUAAUGAUUAAUAGGGAUAGUUGGGGGUAUUCAUAUUUAAUUGUCAGAGGUGAAAUUCUUGGAUUUAUGAAAGAUGAACUCAUGCGAAAGCAUUUACCAAGGAUGUUUUCAUUA
rnacentral:rRNA from 1 species